rnacentral:piRNA from 1 species
AAACCCUACAAAGUUGAUUAAAAGCUGAA